AGCGAACGCUGGCGGCAGGCCUAACACAUGCAAGUCGAGCGCCGUAGCAAUACGGAGCGGCAGACGGGAGAGUAACACGUGGGAACGUACCCUUUGGUUCGGAACAACCCAGGGAAACUUGGGCUAAUACCGGAUAAGCCCUCACGGGGAAAGAUUCAUCGCCGAAGGAUCGGCCCGCGUCUGAUUAGCUAGUUGGUGGGGUAAUGGCCCACCAAGGCGACGAUCAGUAGCUGGUCUGAGAGGAUGAUCAGCCUCACUGGGACUGAGACACGGCCCAGACUCCUACGGGAGGCAGCAGUGGGGAAUAUUGGACAAUGGGCGCAAGCCUGAUCCAGCCAUGCCGCGUGGGUGAUGAAGGCCCUAGGGUUGUAAAGCCCUUUCGGCGGGGAAGAUAAUGACGGUACCCGCAGAAGAAGCCCCGGCUAACUUCGUGCCAGCCGCCGCGGUAAGAC
rnacentral:rRNA from 1 species